rnacentral:rRNA from 1 species
UACGUAGGGCGCAAGCGUUGUCCGGAUUUAUUGGGCGUAAAGAGCUCGUAGGCGGCUUGUUGCGUCGUCCGUGAAAACCUGUGGCUCAACUACAGGCUUGCGGUCGAUACGGGCGGGCUGGAGUUCGGUAGGGGAGACUGGAAUUCCUGGUGUAGCGGUGAAAUGCGCAAAUAUCAGGAGGAACACCGGUGGCGAAGGCGGGUCUCUGGGCCGAUACUGACGCUGAGGAGCGAAAGCGUGGGGAGCGAACAGG